CCAGAACUGGGAAAAGCAAGCAAUUUUUUUAUCUAGCUAUGCUUGGGUCAACUGCAAUACUGAGUGGAGGUUCUAGGCUUCCAGUUCUAGCUAAGACAAGCAAAAGCAUAGAUAUGGACAUGCAUGAACUUGACAACAGGAGCAACACAGGACAGGAUUGCAAGGAAGAUGGGAUACUGACACUGCUUCUUGAACAAGGACUCGCAUCAGACUGCUAUUUAAUUUAAUUAUAAUUUUACAAAAUGCGUUAAACAUAAUAGAGUAAGUAGUUUAUUAACAUCAGCAGAGAGAGAGCAGAGGAAGCAUCCUGAACAGAAGGGCUACCAGCAAGAACUGCUGGCACCCAAAAAA